GAAACGACUCUCGSCAACGGAUAUCUCGNCUCUUGUUACGAUGAACAACGUAGCGAAAUGCGAUACUUAGUGUGAAUUGCAGAAUCCCGUGAAUCAUCGAGUUUUUGAACNCAAUUUGCGCCCGAGGCCUCGGUCGAGGGCACGUCUGUCUGGGCGUCGCAU
rnacentral:rRNA from 1 species